rnacentral:rRNA from 1 species
UACGAAGGGGGCUAGCGUUGUUCGGAAUUACUGGGCGUAAAGGGCGCGUAGGCGGCGUGUCAAGUCAGGCGUGAAAGCCCCGGGCUCAACCUGGGAACCGCGCUUGAGACUGGCAUGCUCGAGUUCGGGAGAGGAUGGUGGAAUUCCCAGUGUAGCGGUGAAAUGCGUAGAUAUUGGGAGGAACACCAGUGGCGAAGGCGGCUCACUGGACCGGAACUGACGCUGAGGCGCGAAAGCGUGGGGAGCAAACAGG